CUAGGGACGCGCAUUUCAAGCGCCCGUGUCGUUGGGUCAAACCAGCGACUGCGUUGGCGUUGCGGGCUCGGUCCGUCGGUGCCCACAAAGGCACCGGCGUGUCAACCGGCCCGCCCGUCCCCUCCUUCUGGAUUCCCGUUCCUGCUAUUGAGUUAGUGGGGACGUCACAGGGAGCUCAUCGUCGUCAGCAAUGCCGGCGGUGGGUUCCUGGGGCCCAGAUCGUUUACCGUGAAAAAAUUAGAGUGUUCAAAGCAGGCAGAUCCAAUUUUCUGCCACCGAAUACAUUAGCAUGGGAUAAUGGAAUAGGACCCUGUCCUCCUAUUUUCAGUUGGUUUUGGCAGCGCGAGGACUAGGGUAAUGAUUAAUAGGGAUAGUUGGGGGCAUUAAUAUUUAAUUGUCAGAGGUGAAAUUCUUGGAUUUAUGAAAGAUUAACUUCUGCGAAAGCAUCUGCCAAGGAUGUUUUCAUUAAUCAAGAACGAAAGUUAGGGGAUCGAAGACGAUCAGAUACCGUCGUAGUCUUAACCAUAAACGAUGCCGACCAGCGAUUAGGAGACGUUGAAUACAAAACACCACCAUCGGUGCGGUCGUCCUUGGCGUCUCGGUUUCGGCCGGGGCGCGGGGACGGCUUAGCCCGGUGGCACCGGUGAAUGACUCCCCUAGCAGCUUGUGAGAAAUCAUAAGUCUUUGGGUUCCGGGGGGAGUAUGGUCGCAAGGCUGAAACUUAAAGGAAUUGACGGAAGGGCACCACCAGGAGUGGAGCCUGCGGC
rnacentral:rRNA from 1 species